GGCUUAACACAUGCAAGUCGAGCGGAAACGAAGAAUAGCUUGCUAUUCUGGCGUCGAGCGGCGGACGGGUGAGUAAUGCUUGGGAAUCUGCCUAGUCGAGGGGGACAACAGUUGGAAACGACUGCUAAUACCGCAUACGACCUACGGGUGAAAGGGGGCCUCUUCUUGAAAGCUCUCGCGACUAGAUGAGCCCAAGUGGGAUUAGCUUGUUGGUGAGGUAAGAGCUCACCAAGGCGACGAUCCCUAGCUGGUCUGAGAGGAUGAUCAGCCACACUGGAACUGAGACACGGUCCAGACUCCUACGGGAGGCAGCAGUGGGGAAUAUUGCACAAUGGGCGAAAGCCUGAUGCAGCCAUACCGCGUGUAUGAAGAAGGCCUUCGGGUUGUAAAGUACUUUCAGCGAGGA
rnacentral:rRNA from 1 species